UACGUAGGGUGCAAGCGUUGUCCGGAAUUAUUGGGCGUAAAGAGCUCGUAGGCGGUUUGUCGCGUCGAAUGUGAAAACCCGGGGCUCAACCCCGGGCCUGCAUUCGAUACGGGCAGACUAGAGUUCGGUAGGGGAGUCUGGAAUUCCUGGUGUAGCGGUGAAAUGCGCAGAUAUCAAGAGGAACACCGGUGGCGAAGGCGGGACUCUGGGCCGAUACUGACGCUGAGGAGCGAAAGCGUGGGGAGCGAACAGG
rnacentral:rRNA from 1 species